rnacentral:tRNA from 1 species
CGGGGCGUGGCGCAGCUUGGUAGCGCGCUUCGUUCGGGUCGAAGAGGUCGUCGGUUCAAAUCCGGCCGCCCCGA